GGCGAACGGGUGAGGAACACGUGAGGAAUCUGCCUUCAACACUGGGAUAACUCCGGGAAACCGGGGCUAAUACCGGAUACGAGCUCUGAUCGCAUGGUCGGGGCUGGAAAGUUUUUCGGUUGAAGAUGACCUCGCGGCCUAUCAGCUUGUUGGUGAGGUAAUGGCUCACCAAGGCGACGACGGGUAGCCGGCCUGAGAGGGCGACCGGCCACACUGGGACUGAGACACGGCCCAGACUCCUACGGGAGGCAGCAGUGGGGAAUAUUGGGCAAUGGAGGAAACUCUGACCCAGCGACGCCGCGUGCGGGAUGAAGGCCUUCGGGUUGUAAACCGCUUUCAGUAGGGAAGAAGCGAAAGUGACGGUACCUACAGAAGAAGCACCGGCUAACUAUGUGCCAGCAGCCGCGGUAAUACAUAGGGUGCAAGCGUUGUCCGGAAUUAUUGGGCGUAAAGAGCUCGUAGGUGGUUUGAUACGUCGGGUGUGAAAUUCAGGGGCUCAACCCCUGACCUGCAUUCGAUACGGUCAAGCUGGAGUUUGGUAGGGGAGACUGGAAUUCCUGGUGUAGCGGUGGAAUGCGCAGAUAUCAGGAGGAACACCGAUGGCGAAGGCAGGUCUCUGGGCCAAUACUGACACUGAGGAGCGAAAGCGUGGGGAGCGAACAGGAUUAGAUACCCUGGUAGUCCACGCCGUAAACGAUGGGCGCUAGUUGUGCGAACCUUCCACGGUUUGUGCGACGCAGCUAACGCAUUAAGCGCCCCGCCUGGGGAGUACGAUCGCAAGAUUAAAACUCAAAGGAAUUGACGGGGCCCCGCACAAGCAGCGGAGCAUGCGG
rnacentral:rRNA from 1 species